AGUGAACGCUGGCGGUAGGCCUAACACAUGCAAGUCGAACGGCAGCACAGUAAGAGCUUGCUCUUACGGGUGGCGAGUGGCGGACGGGUGAGGAAUACAUCGGAAUCUACUUUUUCGUGGGGGAUAACGUAGGGAAACUUACGCUAAUACCGCAUACGACCUACGGGUGAAAGCAGGGGAUCUUCGGACCUUGCGCGAUUGAAUGAGCCGAUGUCGGAUUAGCUAGUUGGCGGGGUAAAGGCCCACCAAGGCGACGAUCCGUAGCUGGUCUGAGAGGAUGAUCAGCGACACUAGAACUGAGACGCGGUCCAGACUCCUACGGGAAGCAGCAGUGGGGAAUAUUGGACAAUGGGCGGAAGCCUGAUCCAGCCAUACCGCGUGGGUGAAGAAGGCCUUCGGGUUGUAAAGCCCUUUUGUUGGGAAAGAAAAGCAGCAGGUUAAUACCCCGCUAUUCUGACGGUACCCAAAGAAUAAGCACCGGCUAACUUCGUG
rnacentral:rRNA from 1 species